GGCUCAGGAUGAACGCUGGCGGCGUGCCUAACACAUGCAAGUCGAACGAAGCACCUGAUGGAUUCCUUCGGGAGGAAGUUCUUGUGACUGAGUGGACGGGUGAGUAACGCGUGGGCUAACCUGCCUCAUACAGGGGGAUAACAGCUGGAAACGUGCUAAUACCGCAUAACCCGAUAGCCGCAUGGCCCGGACGGAAAAGAAUUAUCGGUAUGAGAUGGACCCGCGUCUGAUUAGCUAGUUGGAGGGGUAACGGCCCACCAAGGCGACGAUAGCCGGCUUGAGAGAGUGACCCUCCUACGGGAGGCAGCAGUGGGGAAUAUUGCACAAUGGGGGAAACCCUGAUGCAGCGACGCCGCGUGAGUGAAGAAGUAUUUCGGUAUGUAAAGCUCUAUCAGCAGGGAAGAAAAUGACGGUACUAAGAAGCCCCGGCUAACUACGUGCCAGCAGCCGCGGUUACGUAGGGGGCAAGCGUUAUCCGGAUUUACUGGGUGUAAAGGGAGCGCAGGUGGCGUGGUCAGAAGUGAAAGCGGGGCUCAACCCCGGGACUGCUUUUGAAACUGUCAUGCUGGAGUGCAGGAGAGGCAGGCGGAAUUCCUAGUGUAGCGGUGAAAUGCGAUAUUAGGAGGAACACCAGUGGCGAACCUGCUGGACUGUAACUGACACUGAGGCUAAAGCGUGGGGAGCAAACAGGAUUAGAUACCCUGAGUCCACCGUAAACGAUGAAUACUAGGUGUCGGGCGCCACAGGGCUUCGGUGCCGCACGUAACGCAGUAAGUAUUCCACCUGGGGAGUACGUUCGCAAGAAUGAAACUCAAAGGAAUUGACGGGGACCACAAGCGGUGGAGCAUGUGGUUUAAUUCGAAGCAACGCGAA
rnacentral:rRNA from 1 species